CACCGCCUGGGGAGUACGACCGCAAGGUUAAAACUCAAAUGAAUUGACGGGGACCCGCACAAGUAGUGGAGCAUGUGGUUUAAUUCGAAGAUACGCGCAGAACCUUACCAACACUUGACAUGUUCGUCGCGACUUUAAGAGAUUAAAGUUUUCGGUUCGGCCGGACGAAACACAGGUGCUGCAUGGCUGUCGUCAGCUCGUGUCGUGAGAUGUUGGGUUAAGUCCCGCAACGAGCGCAACCCUCACUUUUAGUUGCCAUCAUUUAGUUGGGCACUCUGAAAGAACUGCCAGUGAUAAGCUGGAGGAAGGUGGGGAUGACGUCAAGUCCUCAUGGCCCUUACGUGUUGGGCUACACACGUGCUACAAUGGCAUUUACAACAGGAAGCAAAACGGCGACGUUAAGCAAAUCCUAAAAAAAUACCUCAGUUCGGAUUGUACUCUGCAACUCGAGUGCAUGAAGCUGGAAUUACUAGUAAUCGCGGAUCAGCGCGCCGCGGUGAAUGCGUUCCCGGGUCUUGUACACACCGCCCGUCACACCAUGGGAGUUGGUUCUACCUUAAGGCAAAGGUUAAAAACUUUGACCACGGUAUAGUCAGCGACUGGGGUGAAGUCGUAACAAGGUAGCCGUAGGGGAACCUGCGGCUGGAUUACCUCCUUUCUAAGGAUGAUUAAAAAAAACUUUUUUAAUCUAAAUAAUUAACAGGUUAAUGUUGACCGUCCUCAUUUCUCUUUUCAAAAAUGUUACUCUUGGUCUCUAAAUACGGGCCGGUAGCUCAGUUGGUUAGAGCACACCCUUGAUAAGGGUGGGGUCGAAAGUUCGAGUCUUUCUCGGCCCACCAUAUAAAUUUUCUUGGGGGGAUUAGCUCAGCUGGGAGAGCGCCUGAUUUGCAUUCAGGAGGUCAGCGGUUCGAUCCCGCUAUCCUCCACCAGAACACUUAGCUAUAAAAAAUUGUGAAUAAAAUAAUAAUUAAUAUCAAUAUCUAUAUCCGAACAUUAGUAAUGUUAUUAACUAAUGUUCAAAUAAAAAUUUGAUUCAACACAGAAUUUUUUUCUG
rnacentral:sRNA from 1 species